UCCGCCCUCCACAUCGGAAACGAGACAAAUCCUCAGUUUAAUAUCUGAUACGUCCCCUAUCUGGGGACCAUAUAUUAAAUUGAUUUUUGGAAUAGGGAGAUGGAAUAGGGGCUUGCUCCGUCCACUCCACGCAUCGACCUGGUAUUGCAGUACCUCCAGGAACGGUGCACCCCCU
rnacentral:snRNA from 1 species